rnacentral:rRNA from 1 species
AAUCAACGCUGGCGGCGUGCCUAACACAUGCAAGUCGAACGAGAUAGUGACUUCGGUCACUGGAAAGUGGCGUCCGGGUGAGUAACACGUGGGUAAUCUACCCCCGGGUGGGGAAUAACGGAUCGAAAGAUUCGCUAAUACCGCAUAAUGCAGCGGCACCUAAUGGUGAGUAGUUGUUAAAGCGGGGGAUCGCAAGACCUCGCGCCUGAAGAGGAGCCUGCGGCAGAUAGCUAGUUGGUGAGGUAAUGGCUCACCAAGGCUUCGAUCUGUAGCUGGUCUGAGAGGACGGCCAGCCACACUGGCACUGACACACGGGCCAGACUCCUACGGGAGGCAGCAGUGGGGAAUUUUGGGCAAUGGGCGAAAGCCUGACCCAGCAACGCCGCGUGAGGGAGGAAAUCC